rnacentral:rRNA from 1 species
CGGAGGGUGCAAGCGUUAUCCGGAUUUACUGGGUUUAAAGGGUAGCGUAGGUGGGUCUGUAAGUCAGUGGUGAAAUCUCCGGGCUUAACCCGGAAAUUAGCCAUUGAUACUAUAGGUCUUGAAUCAUCUGGAGGUAAGCGGAAUAUGUCAUGUAGCGGUGAAAUGCUUAGAUAUGACAUAGAACACCAAUUGCGAAGGCAGCUUACUACGGAUGUAUUGACACUGAGGCACGAAAGCGUAGGGGAUCAAACAGGAUU